rnacentral:rRNA from 1 species
GACGAACGCUGGCGGCGUGCCUAAUACAUGCAAGUAGAACGCUGAAGGAGGAGCUUGCUUCUCUGGAUGAGUUGCGAACGGGUGAGUAACGCGUAGGUAACCUGCCUGGUAGCGGGGGAUAACUAUUGGAAACGAUAGCUAAUACCGCAUAAGAGUAGAUGUUGCAUGACAUUUGCUUAAAAGGUGCAAUUGCAUCACUACCAGAUGGACCUGCGUUGUAUUAGCUAGUUGGUGGGGUAACGGCUUACCAAGGCGACGAUACAUAGCCGACCUGAGAGGGUGAGCGGCCACACGGGGCCGGAGACCCGCCCCAGCUCCCUACGGGAGGCAGAAGUAGGGAUCCUUGGGAAAGGGAGGGAAGUCUGACCGAGAACCGCGGCGUGAGGAAAGAGGGUUUUCGGAUAGUAAAGCUCUGUUGAAAGAGAAGAACGAGUGUGAGAGGGAAAAUUUCCCACUGGGACGUUUUCUUACAAGAAAGGGACGGCUAACUACGUC